UACGGAGGGGGCAAGCGUUGUCCGGAAUUAUUGGGCGUAAAGCGCGCGCAGGUGGUUCCUUAAGUCUGAUGUGAAAGCCCACGGCUCAACCGUGGAGGGUCAUUGGAAACUGGGGAACUUGAGUGUGGCAGAGGGGGGUGGAAUUCCGCGUGUAGCAGUGAAAUGCGUAGAUAUCUGGAGGAACACCGGUGGCGAAGGCGGGUCUCUGGGCGAGUAACUGACGCUGAGGAGCGAAAGCGUGGGGAGCGAACAGG
rnacentral:rRNA from 1 species